rnacentral:lncRNA from 1 species
GGCUAACAUACUAGUAUAUAUACAUUCACAAGCCACUAUAAUUGUGUAUUGUAUCCCUCCCGCGACAUGCACAAACCCCAAAAUCGGGCCAUACAAGUUCGGGUGCUGAAACCAAAAACGCGCAAACUGCAAUAUCGCCAAUUUCAGUACACACAUAAUAUCGACAAUCCUCAUUAUUUCGGCACACAACUAAUAAGAAUUAAGGAACAUUGUCAAAACGGGGGUGAAACAAUUUGAAUAAGAAAAUUAGGAUCUUUANNNNNNNNNNNNNNCACACAAAUAUAUAUAUAUAUAUAUAUAUAUAUAUAUAUAUAUAUAUAUAUAUAUAUAUAUAUAUAUAUAUAUAUAUAUAUAUCCAAUUUAGAAGAAAUCAUUUAAAAUUCUAAUAUAUUUUAAUAAAUAUUAGGGUUAUUUUUUAACCAUAAAAUAUUCUCAAAUUUCAUUUUUAGUCUAUAUUAAAAAUUUCAGCAAGUUUUGAUCUCUCAAAUAUUUUCUUUCAUAACGUUUGAUUCCUAUUUUUAAUUCAACUCAGGUAUACUUUCACAUUUUUGAAUUAAUUUUUGUAUUUAUGUUUAUAAUAAUUUAAAAAGCUCUCCCACAAUAAUAUGUGAUUUUUUAAAUUAGAUGAAUUAAAUAUACUUUUUUUAUGCGCCAAAAACUUAGAAAUUCAUAUCUAAUUCAUCCAUUGUGUUGUAAAAAACUAAAUUUUUGAGGGAGUGAUUUUUAUAUUAUUAUAAAUAUUAAAACUCAUUAAAAUUAUGAAAGAUUGAUCAGGAAAUUAAUUUUUGUCAGAGAGGUUUAUAUAAUGUACUAAACAUGAAUGCAAAAAAUAAUAAAAAUUUCAAGUAAUAUAGAUGAGUUGACAAGCCACUAUAGGUUUGGUGUAGUUGUGGUGAGGGUUUGAGUAGAAUGCGCAUGAGGUCCUAAGUUUGUUUUUUACUAACUCCAUUGUAAAACAAAAAAAAAAAGCAUAUUGAUGAGUUGACUUAAAAAAGCAAGGACUGCAAAUCGUACGGAAGAUAUUUGAGGAUCAAAACUUGCUGAAAUAUUUCAUAGGAAUUAAAAAUGAAAUUUGACACAUCUAUAAGGACAAAAAAGUUAUUUAACCCUAUAAAUAAAUUAAUAUAAAAAUAUGAUAUGAUAUUAAAUUUUGUAUAGAAAUACUAGUAUCAAACUAAAUUUUGAAAUAGUAGAGUUCACUGAAUUUAAAAACGCUAAUAAAAAUUACUUACCGUGGCUAUUUGUUACAUAAAUAAAUAUGAAAAAAAAGAUAAUCAUAGCAUAAAACAUAUAAACAUUAACCAUAUUUUUUCUUUUAUGAAUCUAGAAAUAGGAAUCAUUUGUUAGCUUUAUAGUGUGAAAAAAAAAAU